rnacentral:rRNA from 1 species
AACGAACGCUGGCGGCAGGCCUAACACAUGCAAGUCGAGCGAGGACUUCGGUCCUAGCGGCGGACGGGUGAGUAACGCGUGGGAACGUGCCCUUUGCUACGGAAUAGCCCCGGGAAACUGGGAGUAAUACCGUAUGUGCCCGAGAGGGGAAAGAUUUAUCGGCAAAGGAUCGGCCCGCGUUGGAUUAGGUAGUUGGUGGGGUAAUGGCCUACCAAGCCGACGAUCAAUAGCUGGUUUGAGAGGAUGAUCAGCCACACUGGGACUGAGACACGGCCCAGACUCCCACGGGAGGCGGCAGUGGGAAAUCUUAGACAAUGGGCGCAAGCCUGAUCUAGCCAUGCCGCGUGAGCGAUGAAGGCCUUAGGGUUGUAAAGCUCUUUCAGUGGGGAAGAUAAUGACGGUACCCACAGAAGAAGCCCCGGCUAACUCCGUGCCAGCAGCCGCAGUAAAAC